UAUUUGAAUUAAAUUAUUACAUAGUUUACACUUUUAUGGUGAAUGAAUUAUUUAAAUGAAAAUAUUUUUUUAAAAAAAUAGUUUAAUUAACUUAUUUCAUAUAAUUUUCUCAGAUUUAAUUCAUGUAGUGUUUAAUCGCAUGAAAGCUACUCCUGACAAGGGUGGUAUAGUACAUUGGAAGCAUUUGAUGGUUUAAUGGGAGCAAUGAAUACUAGAACUAGUCAAUCACCGUUACACACAUAAAUAGAAGCUUUUAUAUGGCCAAUUCCCAAUGUAAUGUACGAGGAACUUGAGACAGUUUAAUGUCACAUUUGCUACAGAUUGUUCUCAAUUGGUAAAGAUAAUUUCGGAACUAGAAGAAUGACCAUUUUUGCAAGUUACUUGGAAGACAUAAAGAUCUUGAAAGGGAGUUUCCACAGUUGUCUCAUUCAUAUACCACUGACUCUGAAUUCAAGGGCGGACAGUCUUGCACGCAUCGCCAUGAAACAAUUGUUGUUUGUCGUCCAUAUAGAUGCGGAACCACCAGUUUAGUUUGUAGAGUCUAUAUGAGUCUGUUAAAUUAAUGACAAAACGUGCUUUUAAUAUAGAUUAUAAUUUUAAUAUUGAUAAAAAAUAGCAAGUAAAUUUAUAAUAAAAUUUAAUUAACAGUAAUUUAUAAUUAUAAUAUAUUAUUAAUAUCGAAAUUAAUUGAUGUAAUAUUUAAAAUAUAUAUUUAAAACUUUUAAUAGGAUUUUUUAGAUAUUUUCUCAAUAGAUAUAGUUAUAAAUAAAAAUAAAACUCAGAUUUAUAGUUAAAAUUGAUUUAUUAAUAAUAUAUUGAUUGAUUAUUAAGAGUUUUUUUUAGAAAAUAUUAUAUAUUUUAUUGGUUAAUGUAAAUAACUAAAUAUGUCAUAUUAAGUAAUUAAUUAACUGGUAGAUAAAAAUAAUGACUCCAUUUUAAUAGAAUAGACUUUAUAAUAUUUGACACAAUGAAAAUUAUUUUGUCAAAACCAUCUGUAAUCUUAUUCUUUUAGUUAUGGGAGAUUUGAUAAAAAUGACAGUUACUUAAUUUAAGUGCAAAAGUAUACUCUAAACUCAAUCAAAUGCAAAAUAACCUAAAAGGGUAGUAAAACUAAAACAAUCACCUUACGACCAAACAAAAAAGUUGUAAUCAUUUUUUCGAUUAUAACCUUACGAAGUCUUCUCAGAUAUUGAAGUCUUAUAUGAGAAGUCCUCCCAUGUUAGUGAAGUCUAGAAAUAUUCUCAUAUAUUUAAUCUUAAUAAUAAUUUAUAAAAAAAUAUUUUGAUGGAAAAUCAAUUUAAAUCAUGUAAUUAUAAAUAAUUCUAAAUGAUGUAAAUUUUGAUUUAUUAAAAUUGAACUGUUUUCAACAUAGAUAAGUGAAUUUAGGUGGUAACUCAUGAUUGUCCUUGGUUUAGGGUAAUGAAACACAUUUUGUAGUAUUGUUUGUAACUUUAGGGUUAUAUUUUAGAAUAUUAAAUUUGUUUUUUGAAAUUUAACAUAUAUGGGUUUAGUUUUGUACAUAUUAAACACCUUAUAAGUUGAUCUUAUGUUUAGUGAAUUAUUUGUUGCUAUCUAAUUAGUUAUUUUAUUUUUAAGUUUAGAAAUAUUUUAGUGCAUUUUAUGUUGGAAGACUUCCCAAAAAGUCUUCUGAGAAACCUAAUUAGAAUUUUCGUCUUCUUAUUUCUGUCUUCUGAAUUAGAAUUUUCAUCUUCUGAAUAACAUUCUCUCUUUUCCUCUCAAAGUUGAUGCAGCAAAAUGUAUCUCACUAUAAAACUCUCCAACCUCUUUCUAAUCUCUUUAAACUUGAAGACACCAAAUUUUCUAUCAAUUUUUCAUCUUUUUGUCUCAUGUAUUUCUCACAACUUUACUCUUUUUUUUUGUAAAUUUUUAUUCAUAGUUUUCAUCUUCUACUCUUUUAAAGGUAGAUCUAUAAAAUUUGGAUAUGUAUUUUUAUGUGUGUUUACAUGUUAGAUUCGAAAAAUUUAUAGAUUCAACCUAAUGUGUCAACCUAAUGUGAUUGAUUUAUUUAUUUUUUAAACAUAAAAAAUAUUUUUGAAAUUUUUCUAUGUUUUAAAACUAUUUUAACGUUUUUUUAUAUGCAGAUUUUUCAGAUUUGAUGACAGUAUCGAUCUUCAGACUUCGUUAACAGACUUCUUCAAAAGACUUCUGGAGAGGUCUGUUGGAGAAAUCUGCUAUAUGAAAACUGCUGAAAUUGGUAAAAUUUUAUUUUUCACCCCGAGCUCUCAUUCCUAAACACUUUGAUCUCGUUUUGUAUAUUGUUAUGUAACUAGAUUUAGUUUGAUUCAUAUUCAUUAAUCUUGUAAACUGUUUGAUAUCACCAUGACUAUAAACACUUUCUUCUUCCUAUUAACAAAACAUCCCCUUUAUUUUUCGCUCUUCCGGAACCGGCAUAGAAAUGGGUGUCAAUUGAAUCUAAGUACAUCAUUGUUGUUCUAAGAAUAUUGUUAUCCACAAGUUCUUCCUUCCCUAGUUAUCAAAUACAAACACUACCAAAUUCCUAGUGUGGAUUUUAUGAUCCACAUUUUAGGGCCACCUAUAGGAAAGAUAAACAAAAAACACCAUUGUAAAAACCCAAUUAAUGGUUUGAAAGCACGAAAAUAGACCCAUCCUACGAGACUUCCAAAAGCCAGUACGAUAAGUUUUUAAAACGAAAUGACAUCGACCAAUCGAAUGUCAGAGCUACACGACGAUCCAAAAUAUUGGACCUCAGUCGCCUGAUCAAAUGGAUCGUUUUCAUCCAAGUGACACCAGGAUGUUGUAACGCUAUCAUCCCGGCCGAAACUCGCCAAAAAUUGGUUGAGAGGGAAACAUGACUAUCAACAACAAUCCCUCUCAAACACAAAGAUUGUUUUCUAUGAACAGAGACCCUUAAGCUCGAUAAACCGCAUGAUGAUGCUCUCAUUAUUCAACUCGACAUUGGCAGAUUCCAGUUAUCAAGUUUAUUAUUGACACCAAGAGUUCGACUGAAGUCCUUUUCCACGAGAUGUUCAAGAACAUGGAAGAGGCUAUCCCCUAACCUUUACCACCGCAAAUCGCCGAAUUCUCCACCUUCUGCCGGAAGCUACUUUUAUUUGUUAGAGCACUUUUACUAGUAUGCAAAAAUGAAAUCUAAUUUCACACUCUUAAUUUUUCUUGACUUUUCUCACCAUUCUCAUGUUCCAUUUCUUUUCUCCUUAGAACUGUUUUUCAAAUCAUAUCAUUUUUAUUUGUUGAUCUUAAUGUCAUCUAUGCCGAUUUUACCAUCACUUCCAUCCUAUUUUUCUUUCACAUAUAUCAAUAGAGAAAAAGUUUCAAAUUCGUUGUGCGGUAUAUAUCAGUCAACUAAAUAACAUUGAUAAUGAAUUUCAAUAUAGAGAGUAGAGAUGGUAAUCUCGAACCUGGAUUGCAAGCCUGGCCCAGGAAGGACUGUUGUGGGGCAGGUUUGGACGGGGGUUUCUAGGCCCGAAAAGUAAGCGGGCCUCACGAGUAAGUGUCCCCCGGUAUUGGGCUUUCGGCGGGAUGGGCCUCACGUGGAUUCCAGGGAUAGUAAAGACCCGCUUCAUCUAAAGAUUCUUUCACAAUUUUUACCUGAAAAAAUGAGAGAGAGAGAGAGCAAUGAUGGUGACUCGGCUUCGAUCUUCACCAACCUAUGGAGCUCCGGUGAUGGCGGUUUGAUGUUGGACGAAGUUUCCGGUCUCUCAUGCAUCUUCGAUCUGAUUCUUCUUCCGGUCAUCCCUUGGUAUUUGAUCUGCAGAAGAAGAGCUUCACCGACAACUCAGAUGAACUUUGUCGACUGUUUCUUCACCAACAACCUCCGAUGAAGAUUCCACUUCAGAUGUCGAUCCCCAAGAUAAUUUUUUUCUUCUUAAUUUGGAUCUUCUUUGUUGUAUAUCUAAGUGUGUAUAUCUACUGUAGUCGUUUGGAUCUUCUGAUGCCGAUCUCCAGGAUCAAGCCAUCUUGGACUUGAAGUCUUGUAUAUAGAUCUUAUAUGUUUAUACCAGAUGAGUGUAGUUUGUAUGACAAUGAGUAUCUAAAAAGAGCUUGGCUUUCUUUUGAUUAUGAUUGCUUUGUAUUGCUAUAGAAAUCUUGAUGCUUGGUUGACUUUUAUGUUCUGCAGAUUAAUCUUAGUUCUCGGAUUGCAAUACGUAUACUUGAAUUUUUCUAGUCACUUGCAUUACUCGUUUUGACUAUUGUUUGUGGUGAUUGUUGUGUUUGAGGUAUACUUUAUGUUUUGAAGAUUUAUCUUUUUGAUAGUCGCUUGCAUUACUUUGAUUACUUUUACAGGAAAUCAUUGCUCAACCCGAUAGAGAAGAUCAUGGAACUCAAAAACCUUAAAAGAGAAUGAAGUUAUAUCGUGUCUCGUGAGCCGGUCCACAAAAGCCCAUGUUCACGUGGGGUGGAUUGAUAAUGCCCUAAGGGGAAUGCGGUACCAAACGGGACGACACAGGCUAACCUGCUGGCCAUCUCUAAUAGAGGGGAUGGUGAAUUUGGUAGACAUGUCAAUUAGGACCAAAAUCCGCAGUUCGAACCCGCCCAGCCCUAAGAAUUACCGGGCUUGUGCUUAGUUUUAUAAGCUCCAAAAAAUUGGGUCUUAAAGGCUAAACCCAUUUGGUUUUUAGGUAUUUUUGGCCUAAGUCCCUUUGGGCUAGGGUCUGUCCGAAAACCCGGAAUUUUAUACUUUAGCUUAAAUAUUAUCGUUUCUACAAUCAAAACCAUUAUUAGUAUUGACAUAUUAUUUUAAUAUUUUUAUCCAAACUCUAAUAAAGCAACUAUAAAAGUUAUUAAGGCACUU